rnacentral:rRNA from 1 species
AAUUGUUCGCAAUGGGCGCAAGCCUGACGACGCAACGCCUCGUGGAGGAUGAAGAUCUUCGGGUCGUAAACUCCUGUCGAGUGGGAAGAAUAGUGUCCGGGCGAAUAUCCCGGACACCUGACGGUCCCCCUAAAGGAAGCCCCGGCUAACUCCGUGCCAGCAGCCGCGGUAAUACGGGGGGGGCAAACGUUGUUCGGAAUUACUGGGCGUAAAGCGCGUGUAGGCGGCUUGGCAAGUCGGGUGUGAAAGCCCCGGGCUCAACCUGGGAAGUGCACUCGAAACUGCUUGGCUUGAGUACUGGAGAGGGAAGCGGAAUUCUCGGUGUAGAGGUGAAAUUCGUAGAUAUCGAGAGGAACACCGGUGGCGAAGGCGGCUUCUUGGACAGUUACUGACGCUGAGACGCGAAAGCGUGGGGAGCAAAC